rnacentral:rRNA from 1 species
CUCGUAGGCGGCCAACUAAGUCGGACGUGAAAUCCCUCGGCUUAACCGGGGAACUGCGUCUGAUACUGGAUGGCUUGAGAUUGGGAGAGGGAUGCGGAAUUCCAGGUGUAGCGGUGAAAUGCGUAGAUAUCUGGAGGAACACCGGUGGCGAAGGCGGCAUCCUGGACCAACACUGACGCUGAGGAGCGAAAGCCAGGGAGCAAACG